UUAGAGAGUAAUAUCAAAGUUAUACCAGUUUUCUUACGAUCACUAAAGUUAAGCAACGUUGUGCGUGGUCAGUACUUGGGCGGGUGACCACCUCGGAGUUCACGUGUUGUCGGCU
rnacentral:rRNA from 1 species